rnacentral:lncRNA from 1 species
GGGCAUGAUCACCUUCUUUACCUUCAGUUGUGAUGUUGUUGGGAUGACUAUGGAACUGGCAUGUAAUUAAACUGUGUGUGUGAGGUUCAAAACUACUUUGCUUCCGCUACUAAACUGGUUUGUAAUAACUUUGUUUAGAACUCCGAUGUGAUGUAAAACUAUGUUCUGUGAUGAAUGUAUGUAAUCUGUGAUGGCGAUGCUUGAUCAUGUACGAUCUUGGUUGUAUGUUGGUUGAAUCGAGGUCUUUUGAGAUUUCGUCGGACUACUGGGUUUAUAUGGGUUCAAGUCCAUUGGCUUGACCGCUUUCGUGGUCGCUAAUUCACUUGAAUUCUUAUAAAUUGGACGGUUCUGUUACAAUUGAGUUCAUAGAAUUCUCACAUUAAGCUCUAAUAAGCUCUAGACAAUUACCUAACCCUUAACAUGUUCCACGAGUUUUGUUGUCUAUUUGGGUUGUGCAGGAUUUUUGAGGCUUAAGAAGAGUGAGACCGAAUAUGCAGGCCAAAAGAGUGAACGACUAUGUCAACAUCCAGCUUGAGGGAGACACCCCCACGUGUAUCUAGAUAAGUAUUACUUUUCUUUCUUGGUUUUAUUUACUAGUAUUCGGAAAUAAAUAAAAAAAUGCAUAACCAUGAAACCAAACAAAGUUUUUCUUUUGAGUACUAUACAAUAGUUUUGUGUAAUCCUAAGUUUUAAAUAAAAUUUGAUCCAAGUCUAGGUAAUUCACAAACAUGAUAUGAGAAGGUCUGAGCUACUAUUCAUCUUGUUCCAAGUUUCACUAGAGUUCUGGAGAUUUUAUCUUUUGAAAAUCUAAAAAUGAUGAGAUCGUGUUUGACAUAAUACCUAGUGUCUUAUAAGAUAUAAAUAUUAAAACUAUGGGCACUUACUUUGUUCAAGCCAUUGUUAAUUCUUGUAGUUUUGGUUGAGAGAAUUAUCAUGAUCCAAAGAUCAAGAUCUUUUGUUUUAAAAAUAUAAAAGAUUCACUCUUCCGAAGUAUUAUUGCGUUAGAGGCAUGGGAGAAAAAAAAGAGUGUGAGACAAGAGGUAAAAAUAGACAAGUGUCCGAAGUAGAAUUAGGGGUACAAAGAUACCCACCUGAGUGAAAAAAAUGGACACGUGUCCGAUAGUAGAAUUAGGGGUACUUGGUGCCCACUUGAAGAAAAAGAAAAAAAAGAAGAGAAAGAAAAAAAUGAUAGCCCAUGGUCCCUCUAAUAGGCAAUAUGCCAGUAAGAGAUGACAAACUUUUCAAAAAGGUCAAAGGUCUUGAUCUAGGAGUAUGACAUUCCUCUCCCUUGCUCCGAGCAUUGACAUAGCAAAAUGCAAAGUAUGUUAAAACUUUUAAAGCUCUACUUAUAUAUCUUUCGAGAAGAAGGCAAAUGCCUCAGUUUUAUUAUGCAGACUUACAAAAAACUCCAGAACAAAGGUAAGACAGAAGAACUUGAGACAUAGUGCUUGACUUGAUCGUUCUGUUUUUCAAUCACUUAAGACCUUAGUGAUAACUUAAAAACCCUGUAGUAAGAGGCAUAAAAGUAUCCCCUGUUUUCUUGCUGAUUUUAGCUUUACUCAGGGACGAGCAAAGGUUAAGCUUGGGGGAGCUUGUUGACGGUCCUUAAUGCUCACAUUUAACCAUCAACUAAUCAUGGAAAAGGGCUUAAAUGCAACCAACACCUAGACUUAGGGUUUUAUCUGACAGAAUUCCAUGAGUUUUGGUGUUUGUCUAUUUCUGCAGGGGGUUAUCAGGAAAUACGAAAGAAAGGCCCACGCGUCGGGAUUACAUAUAGAUAUUAACGUGCCGUGCAAUUAUCUUACAUCUAGAAGACUCCAGAAGCCACAGGAAGGAAGCGGAAGCCGAACGGAGCCAGGCACUGGGCGCCCGCCCAGUUGACCUGGGCGCCCGCCCCCUGUUAGACUCUAAAUAGGAAUCUCUUUCGGGAAAGAUCUCCACCUACCUAAAGGAUCAAGGAUAACCAUUCAAUCAAUGUCGGUUUGAUCCAACGGCCCAUAUUCACUUGGGAGGACUAUAAAACCAGACCCCCUGGCCCCUGGAGAUCAUACCUCUUCUACAGAAUCAAAGCUAGGGUUUUAAUUCUUCAUCCAAGUAGAGAGGAUCCCUCUAGUUUUUCUAGUUCUACCUCUAGUUCAUCUAGUUCUAGUUCAUCUAGUUCUAGUUCUAGUUCCUCUAGUUCUAGUUCUAGUUAGUUCUAGUUGUAAUCUAGAAAAUAGGGAGAGAGAAGAGGAGAGCGGAGGAGGAGGAGCCGGAUCUGUCGGAUCUUCCUCAACAUUGUACUUUUGCAGCAACUGGUUCGUUCUUCAUCAUUCUCUAGGUUCUUCAAUUCAUAAUCCUGAGUUCUUUAAUUACUUUUAUUUACAUUCAAGUUAUUUAUUGGAUUCCCGAUUGCAUCAAGUGCUCUAAUCUUUGCAACAUUAGAGUAUUAAUUAAUAGAUUAGACGUGGUGUUUAGUCUUGCAAUUACCUGGAAUUGCACCCAAUCCUGCGGAAUGUUGUGGUAGCCCUAGGGUAGUGACAGCCCUAACGGUCGAUGUAUUCCACCUCGUUCGAAUCGGUGUUUGUAGGACCGUAGUCAGAGCUUCCUAGCCCCCUUCUCAUCUCUUUCUGUGGUUAGUGUUCUGAUGUCCCGAAAUAAAUAAUCUUUGAAGUAAUUCUUGAUUCUUAGAUCAACUAGAGAACUGUCAGGAAACUUCCUCUCUUCCCACCAAAAAUAAUUAUAUAGUUAUCCUUGGGCGAUCUUGAAUCUUAAUUAGUACACUCACAUUCCCUGUGGAAAAUCGAUACUCUAGAAUACUCUCGGGUGAAAUCUACAUCGGUAUCCGUGCGCUUGCGGAUUUUUCUGUUUGUAUUUAAAAUACCCAACAGCCACCCACUUGCGAACCCAGUGUACACCCAGGAACACUCCCUGGCCCUCUGAAUCGCCCGGACUUCCUCUUCUUCCCCAACUCUGGCCAACUUCCGCCACGAGCCCCCUUCCUCGUGGCCAGGCCAUUCCGCAAGGUAUCAAGCUGAGGUGAUAGAUGUUAGAGCUUCACCGUGUUGUCCCGUAGCUCAUGCGCUCGCUUCGUGGUCUUACGCACACGCAGGUCCACCGGAAUGAUGUUGCCAAGCCGGAGUGCUCGCGCAAAGAAGCCGUCACCGUCGCCAGCAACCUCUGCUACCUCACCGACCUCGGUGAUGUGAGCAUCGCACUCCUUAUCCCUUGUAGAAGCUCUCUAGCGCGUCAGCUCACGCUCUACUGAGCUCUCGUAGCCGGUCUACGUGCGGCCAGUGCCGCCGUCCGCCAUGUGUGUGGCCAAGGUAGGGAGAGGGGGUAGCAUGCCCGUAGGCAGGGUCAACGGGGUCGCGAAGGAGAGGCGAAGUCGCUGUGCUUCGUCGCGAGGGCUGGAACCCCGCCAGCGGCGGCCGGGAGGACAACCGAGCCGCCGGCAAGGUGAGGGACGAUGCUGACAGCGGGGGCCCGCUGUCAGCGACGUCGUGAGGAGGGGGGGGAAGGCGCGCGUAGUGCGUUGGCCGAGCAGAUGGGCCGGCCUGCGGGCCAAGCUGCUGGACCCCCCGCGGCACAGUGCCGUUUUUCUUUUUCCUUUUUGUGCAAAUUUAAAUUAUGUUUGAUUUUGUGUAGAAAAUUAUGUGCAGAUCCAAAAAUAGUGAAAAUAUUUGGGUAUGUUCUAUGCAGCGGGUAGAACAUAGAAAAAAUGUUAUAUUCCAUAUUCUGAUAAUUUGAGCAUGUAUAAAAAUUAUACCUUUUAUUUAGUAAAUAAACAUUCCUUGAAUUUUAAGAAUUUAUUACUAUGUCCAAAAAUCACCAAAAUUUGUGAGAUGUCUCUGAAUAUUAUUCCCUAGCCUCACACAAAAUUUGGUGGCAUUUGGAUAAUAUUUGAACAAAAUAUUAAUAUAUCUUUAAUUAGUAAUUUAGUAGUAAUCCUAAAAUAUUAGAUAAUAAUUAAUUUAAUUUUCCAAAUUAAUAGUUGAGUGAUUUUGGAAUUGGGUGAUGACCUAAGGUCAUUAAUCUUAAUGACCUUUGGUAUUUAAUUAUUGUUUGGUGUUAAUACUUAAUUACUGUCAUUAAUACUUAAUCAAGAAUAAUUAAGAUAAAAGGGAUUAAUAAUUAGUUGAUUAAGAAUGAUUGCAAAUUAAGAAAGGUCUUAGCUUACUGAUGCAACCUCUUGGGUAAAAACACUAAUGUGGUAAACAACCUUUAAUUAUUGUUUUAGCUUGCAUUUGUACCGAGAAGGAAAGUUGUACUCAACCAAAUCCUUCGUAUAUGUCAUAAGCGUGUCAUGAGUGUACAUCAUUUUGCGUAUAGUGCACGUGACCGAAGGAGCGACCGUUGAACCAAACCCCGAAGUCGGUGUUCUGUUCAAGGAAGUAGGAUCCGAGACUUAGGAAGUCUCCGAGGAACCCACUCAGCUCUGCAAUGAAGGCAAGCCCCGGAUGCAUUAACCCUUCCUUGAAUGUUUUAACUAUUUUAUCACUUAUGAAUUGAAAUUGCUGCAUUACAUAGUUAAGAAUUGGGUUCAACCUAUCUGUUGCAUUUACUACCUUGAUGUUUGUUAUCCUAUCCUUGGCACCUAUUUUAUUUCAAAUCUGCAUAGUAAUUCUUAGCCCUGCUUAUUAGAUAGGCUUUCAACUAAGAAAGUUUGAAUGGUUGUUGUGGAAUACUUUUAUGGUCAAUGAUGUUUCAACUUGAGACCGGUCGGUGGACUUGCUCUAAGAAUGGAGUUUUAAAGUGGUGUCUCCAACUGUGUCGAUUAAGGACCGGUCCGUUGAUGUCCUGCUGGGUUGAGAAUUUAUAGUACUAGGCACUUGCCCUCGUAAAGCACGGUCUUGUGAUUCCUCAAUGAGAGCGGCUACUGUUGACGGUCCUUAAUGCUCACAUUUAACCAUCAACUAAUCAUGGAAAAGGAUCCAAAUACAACCAACACCAGACUUAGGGUUUUAUCUGACAGAAUUCCAUGAGUUUUGGUGUUUGUCUAUUUUUGCAGGGGGUUAUCAGGAAAUGUGGAGGAAAGGCCCACACGUCAGGUUUACAUAGAGAUAUUAAUGUGUGCGCCAAUUUUCUAUCAUCUAGAAGACUCCAAAAGCCACGAGAAUGAACGGGAGGCCGAUCGGGCCCGGGGGCAGGGCGUCCGCCCAGCUACAGGAGCCAAUCAGGCUCCGCCUCGUGGAUCAUGCUCCACUGACCUAAAGGAUUAAGCAAAACCAUGUGAUUAAGGUCGGUUUGAUCCGACGGUCCACAUUCAUUUGGAAGGGCUAUAUAAGCAGGCCCCCAGGGCCCCGGAGAACAUACCUCUUCUACAGAAUCAAAGCUAGGAUUUCAAUUAUUCAUCCAAGUAGAGAGGAUCCCUCUAGUUCAUCUAGUUCUAGUUAGUUCUAGUUGUAAUCAAGAAAAUAGGGAGAGAGAAGAGGAGAGCGGAGGAGGAGCCAGAUCUGUCGGAUCUUCCUCAACAUUAUAGUUUUGCUGCAACUGGUUCGCUCUUCAUCGUUCUCCAAGUUCUUCAAUUCAUAAUUCUUGAGUUCUUUAAUUACUUUUAUUUACAUUCAAGUUAUUUACUGGAUUCUCGCUUGGAUCAAGUGCUCUAGUCUUUAUAACGCUAGAGUAGUAAUUAAUAGAUUAGAUGUGGUGUUUAGUCUUGCAAUUACCUGGAAUUGCACCCAAUCCUGCAGAUUGUUGUGGUAGCCCUAGGGUAGUGACAGCCCUAACGGUUGAUGUAUCCCACCUCGUUCGGAUCGGUGUUUGUAGGACCGUAGUCAGAGCUUCCUAACCCCCUUCUCAUCUCUUUCUCUGGUUAGUGUUCUGAUGUCCCGAAAUAAAUAAUCUUUGAAGUAAUUCUUGAUUCUUAGAUCAACUAGAGAACUCUCAGGAAACUUCGUCUCUUCCCACCAAAAAUAAUUAUAUAGUUAUCCUUGGGCGAUCUUGAAUCUUAAUUAGUACACUCACGUUCCCUGUGGAAAAUCGAUACUCUAGAAUACUCCCGGGUGAAAGCUACAUCGGUAUCCGUGCGCUUGCGGAUUCUUCUGUUUGCGUUUAAAAUACCCAACUGCUACUCACGCACUGGGCAUACUCACGUUCCCUGUGGAAAAUCGAUACUCUAGAAUACUCCCGGGUGAAAGCUACAUCGGUAUCCGUGCGCUUGCGGAUUCUUCUGUUUGCGUUUAAAAUACCCAACUGCUACUCACGCACUGGGCAUGGAGCGAUGGCGAGAGUAGCGUGUACCCUCCUGGCAAAUGGGCUGGACAGUGGAGUACCGUGCUCUCGGGUGUCGCGAACCCAGUCAGAUCUUGGGAAAGCUAGAUUUGGGUUGACAUAUGCAAGAUUUGGUUCUACAUAGGUCAGGUGGUUAGGAACUCCAGCUGGAUUGCUAAGCGGUUCGAAUCGUCGUUGCUCCCCAAUUGGGAGACUCAAUCCACUAACCCCCAUCAUAGUUAAAUAUGCAACUAAGGUAUAAACUACGGAAAAAUAAAAUGUCUCAUGAAGUUCGGAUCCCGAUUCCCCGACUCAGAGUGACAUGAAGCUAUGGCCAUCGGAUGAACAACAUUGUCAUUAAGGACUAGGAAUUUACAGACUUGUCUGUAAAAAGCAACUAGAUAGACUGUCCUCGAAUUCCUUGGCCUCUCGAGGUGAGCAAUUCGUGGUUAAAACUUGAAAGUAAGGAUGCACUAUUAGUAAGCUUUUAUGCAAAACAACUUAGCUCCUUGCUCAGCCACUCCUUGUCUACCCUAAGCCUGCAUUCCUAAUUUCUCCCUUUUUCUACCAGGUAAGUCUUGUUGAGUACCCUAGUACUCAGGGUUUAUAACCCCUGUUGCAGGUGAAGUUCAGGAGCCGACUUGUUUCGGACCCUGUUGUGUGACUGUCUUCGAGGUUUACGACGAGGAGGAAUAAGCAUGACCUGUGGGCAUGGUCUGUAAACUUGUAAUCUUUGUAAUUUGGUUAAAGUUGCUCCAUUGGACCUGGCCUAUAAUAACUAUUUGUCUAAGUCCUCCUUUGAAGAACUACUUUGUAAAUUAAGUUAUAUAAUGCUUCCGCCGUUUUACUCUGAAAUGCUAGUUUGGUUACAUCCUGUUUGUGAUACUACAAUGUCUUCGCAAUGAAUGAUCCUGGUGUUAAUAUGGUCACUUGCUAUCCUGUAAGGGUGAGAAGAAGAAAUUUUUGUUAAUUGACCAUUGCUACUGGUCACGACGAAUCCUGUUGUUACGCCACAGGUAGUAGUGGAGUGGGUGUCCUGGGACACUCAUCGGACUUCUGGAGUAGAUGUGUAACAGAACCGUCCAAUUUAUAAGAACUCAAGUGAAUUAGCGACCACAAAAGCAGUCAAGCCAAUAGACUUGAAUCCAUAUAAACCCGGUAGUCCGACGAAAUCUCAAAAGACCUCGAUUCAACCAACCAUACAACCAAGAUCGUACAUGACCAAGCAUCACCAUCACAGAUUACAACAUUCAACACAGAACAUAGUUUUACAUCACAUCAGAGUUUAAAGGAGGUUAUUACAAACCAUAGCAGUAGCGGAAACAAAGUAGUUUUGAAGCAACAUCAUCUCAGUUUAUAAUACAUGCCAGUUCCAUGGUCAAGUCCCAACAAAAGCACAACUGAAGAUAAAGGAGUGAUCACGCCCAUGAUCUAUUCAUCAUCCGCAGCUGGGUGAUGACAGUUAGCGCAAUAGUCGUGAUAGACGACAUCAUCUGCAACAGGGGUAAAUAAAACCUUGAGUACGAGAAUGUACUCAGCUAGACUUACCCGUCAUAAACCAGAAAUAAAGUGACACCAAGGAGUAUGCAAGGCUGACCUUUGUGGGCUGGUUUGACUCACCUUUUUGCAUAAAAGCCUUUGUUGUAGGUAAUUUGUUUAUCAUAUUCCAGCAGCAAGUUCAUUAAUUAACAACUAUCCACUAGAUUAGCACCUGUUCUAAGCAUACACUUGAGAAAUUAAGCAUUUCAAUAAUAACCAUAUCAAGAUUAUCACUUUGCCAUCAACAUUCUCAUCAUAACCAUCAAGUUUAUUUAGUGAAUUCUACGUUGCCGCUGCCCAAGUCAAGUUCUCACUAUCCGGGAGAGACGGCGAUUCUGAUGAGGACAUCCCAACCAAGCAUGCUCCCUCUAAUUCCAUGCCAACCUCUACACCGACUACGCCGGCACCAGCCCAAGCCAUUGAUAGAGCAAUUACACGUAGCCGAGCCAAGAAGCUACAACAAGAGGUGAACGCGCUACUUUGUGAGAGUUCUAUUAAUGUUAAUGAGAAUAUUAUACUACCUAAGUGUUCUACUUUGGUUGUGCUUAGGUAUACAUAUGAGGAGGGAGGUGACCUGGAUCGCAAGGAUUGGAACAACAUGGUGAAGAACGGACCAGUUGAAAGAAGGGCAGAUCGGACCAGUACGGUGCAGAACGGACUAGUUGAAAGAAAAGAUCAUAACUUUCACUUUCGAGAUGCUAUGAAGGCCCAUGACCACUUGUUGGAAAGCUCUUCGAGUCUACUUUCCAAUGAAUCUAGUGGAGACCAGUUUGGAUACUCCAUACUGCCUGCAGACCAGAAUUAGUAUAGACUGCUCAGAAGGUCAAUAGUCUAUCGUGACAGAAUGUUGGUACAACUUGCCAAGUAAAACUGUACCAAUAUACAGAGUUUCGUGGUGCAUGGCAUACGUUGCUGGAAAGCUCUUGGAGUCUAGUUUCACACCCAAGAAACGGUUCAUCAUUUGGACUUUCCAAUAAAAAGUUAUCGUCAGUUUAUUGAAAACUGCUCUGGAGGCCAACAGUCACGCGAAGCCAAUUCGGGAAUCCAUUUCGAGGGGACCUUUCACAUUGCCUUCCCUCAGAAACUCUAUUUCGUUUUUAUACCUAUCUAGCAGGGCUGUUGCUAGUAUAAAUACCCCCUAAGACUCAUUGUAAUCCAAGACUUAUGAUAUUGAGAAUACAAACCACUUUGUUCAGCUGUGUGCUAACAACUUCAGAGAGAGAUCUCUACCCCUUUGCUCUUGUGUUUUCCUUCGCGGAGAUUACAGAAGCGGCCGCGUCAUCAGCACCCAAUCCGUGCUCCUGAUCCUCGAGUUCAGGUUGCGUAGGUUGGUUCUUUGAGAGUGUGGUUGGGCGAAUCCUAGCUUCAGUCUGCCGUAUAGAGACGGUGGUUGGCUCCUUGUGCGUGUCGUCAGGUUGCAAUAGUUAUCCUCGCUGCUUGCAGCAAGUUAUCGGCUGAUCUUCAGCUAGUUAUCCUACGUCGUGAAGAUCGGGACAGCGACCUCACCAUCUGGUAUCAAAGCUCAAGUUUCCACGGUAGGAUUUUUACCCUUAGCUACAUAUAUAUAUCUUGUUCGUCCUAUCCACCAAAAAGCCAUAAAAAAAAUUUGCAUUAGCCCUUUGUUUCAGUCUGUUUUUCUUGUGAGUUUGGUUAAGUUUCAGUCCAUUAGAGUUUUGUUUAGUUGCUGAUCAUCAUAUCCUUUGUGUGUCCUUUGUGCCUCUUUUAUAUCUACAAAUCCCUAAAGAAAAUCUGAAACCAGUAUCAUCCUUCGCGUAAACUUUGAGCCUAUCAAGUUAGAACGCUGACGGUUGUGUCUUGUUUCAAAAAAAAGUGUGUGUAAGUGUUAUAUUUGUUCUUGUUCUUAGUUAUAAAAAAAAAGUAACAAAAAAAAGGAAAGUGAAAAAAAAGAGUUGAGGAAGAAAAGUUGUGAAGAAAGAGUAGAAAAUUCACUCUGUUUAUGUGCUCAAGUUCUGAAUUUUAUAUCAAGUCACACAAUCAGUCAUUAUCCAUCUUUGGUGCAAAAUUUUGCUUGGGUUUGAUUGCAACACUUGCAUCCUAGGCAUACUCCUUGUUUGCAUCAAAUCUGAAUUAUCUUUGCGCGUGUGUUUGAUCUAUUUACAUCACUCAUAUCUUGUGGUCAGCACUAGGCAUUGAACUUCUAGUUUGGAUUGUGGUUUAACUUUACAAUAUCAAGAAUUCAGAUUGCAUUCCUUGAGAAAUAUAUCCCCACCAAGCUCCACAAAUAACCCACCGUCAUAGGAAAAUACUGUUCUUGGAUUCUCCCAACCAUCAUUCUCGGUUACCACCUCGCAUUGGCCGUUGUAAUCUGCGGGGAACUCACAUGAGCUUCGGUUGGUAAGAGAGGUGAGAUUGUGAGAUUCCACAUAUAAUUCCCUAUUCUACAUAUAUUGUUGCUUUGCCUUCACUAAUUUUUUACAGCAAGAUGGCUGAGCAUCCGGAGAUUAAUGAUUGUGUCACCAUGGCAGCAUUCGAUGAGAUGAAACAAAACAUGGAGACGCUAACAAACAAUGUUCAAGCACUCAUGAACCGGUUGCAAAUUCAUCCUCAUGAUAAUGCAAAUGGCAGUCACCAUGAAGAUGAAGAUGAAGAAAGCGAAGGAGAAGCUGCUCGUCGUGCAAGGGAACGGCGUAGAGAGGGAGCUCCUGCCAAUGCAAGAAGACCUCCUUUUCCACGACGUGAUCAUGGUGGUAGAGGUGCUGGUCAUGGACAUGGGAGAGGUAUUGGAUUGGAAGAAAGUGAAACUGAGGAAGAGGAUGAAGAAGAAGAGGAUGAACAGCCCCAUUAUGAUGAUCGUCGUCACCGAAGAAAUCGUAGGCGUAAUCAGCACAAUGAAGAGAUGUUUGGAAAGUUAAAAUUCACCAUGCCCCAGUUUGAAGGAGGAUCUGAUCUUGAAGCAUAUCUUACAUGGGAGUUGAAGGUGGAUAAAGUUUUUCGUGUUCAUAAUUAUUCUGAGGGAAAGAAGGUUGCCAUGGCUGCUCUUGAGUUCGAUGGGUAUGCUCUAAUCUGGUGGGAGCAAAUAUUGAAUGAAAGAGAAGAAGCUGGUCAAGGUGAUGUUCGUUUAUGGGCUGAAAUGAAGAGAGAAUUGAGAGCAAGAUUUGUCCCCAAACAUUAUCGCCGUGAUUUAUUUGACAAGCUACAAAAUCUGAAGCAAGGAAGCCUCAGUGUUGAUGAGUAUUAUAAAGAGAUGGAGAAGGCGAUGAUUAGAGCCAAUGUAAUUGAAGAUGAAGAGCAAACAAUUGCAAGAUUUAUGUCAGGGCUGCAUCGGAAUAUUCAGCGCAUUGUUGAAUUUCAGCAAUAUCGUAAUCUUGUUGAAUUGGUGCAUCAAGCUAGCAAAGCUGAGCGGCAAUCGCAGCAGGAUAUGAAGUCCACUAGAGGAGUAUCUUUCAGCACAAAGAGUGCAGCAAGUGGAAGUAAAUUUGCACCCAAAGGAAGUGGAAGUAAAGGUACAUUUUCCAGCUCAAACGGUGGUGCACGAUCUAGCAACCUUGGUUCUUCUAGUAGCAAAGAGUUGGCUGCUCAAAAUGAGAAAUUCAAAUCAGCAAACUCAGUGGGUUCUUCCAGCAAGAGUAGUGGAAUUUAGUGCUUCAAGUGUGGUGGUCGUGGUCAUGUUGCAAGAGAGUGUCCAAACGCUAGAACCAUCACUGUGAAUGAUCAAGGGGAGUAUGAAUCUGCUAGUGAGGAAGAACAAGAAGAUAGUGGAAGUGAGAGUAAUCUUGAGAAGGACAUCUGUGAAUUUGAAUCUGGUGCUGCUCUUGUUGUAACUCAGAUUUUGAGUGUACAAAUGAGCGAUGCUGAAAAUGGACAGCGACACAUUCUUUUUUCAGACUAGAGCUAAAGUGCAAGAUAAGGUUGUCAAAGUGAUCAUUGAUGGUGGCAGUUGCCACAAUCUUGCAAGCAAAGAAAUGGUUGAAAAGCUUGGGUUGAAGCUGCUGAAACAUCCCCAUCCAUAUCAUGUGCAAUGGCUUAAUAAUUCAAGUUCUAUUAAGAUUGCACAAAGAGUGAAAGUUCCAUUCAAGAUUGGUGAAUAUAUUGACACUGUAGAGUGUGAUGUGGCGCCUAUGACAGUGUGCCACAUGCUGUUGGGAAGACCAUGGCAAUAUGAUCGAUCGUCUCUACAUUGUGGUAGAACCAAUCAAUACACCAUCAAGUGGAAGAACAAGGAGUUGAUUCUUAAACCCAUGACACCGCAGCAAAUCCUAGCUGAGCACUUGCAAAAGAGCUCCGAAGUGAGGAAUGAGAGUGCAAAAGAAGGAGAGAAAAAUAAUUUGAGUGCCCUCCACAAAUCAGUGAGUGAGAGCCAUAAGCCAAACAUGAGAGAUGACAAAAAAAGAGAGGGAGAGAACUUCGUGAUGAUAGCCACCAAAUCUGAACUAAGAGAUGUGAGGAAAAACCCAGAUCAAGUACUAUUUGUACUUGUGUGCAAGGACACAUUGCUUUCAGCUAAUGACUUAACAUCUGUCCCUAGUGCUGUUGCACGUGUUUUGCAGGACUAUGACGAUGUUUUUCCAAAGGAAACACCUGCAUUUCAGACUUAUCUCUCUGCCGCAUCUAUAAAAUUCGAGGUUGUUCAAAUGGAUAUGGUAACUAUUUGCAUGACAAUCAAGGGAUUGUGUAGGUGAUUUGAUGGCAAGUAAUCAUGACCUUGAGGAUAUUUCACUGUGCACAAUAUUUUAAUCAACCAUCGGCAGCGUAUCUUGAUAUCAAGUUUUUGCCGAUGGGCGGUUUUCCCUAUGACUUGGCGUCGAUCGAGGUAGAGGUGGUUGAGAGAUGUGUGAUCUUUACUGAGAUAUGAAAAUCAAGGCUGGGUUUGUUUAGAUUUGGUAACAAAUUUUUGUCAAGAAGAAGAUAAUUAUGUAAAGACAAUCAUUAUCUGGAGAGAAUUUCGGAGCAUUAAUGAUUUUAUACUCAGAAAUUAGGGGGCAUGUGUUGACACUAUUUUUGGAAUGGGUCAAGAUAAUUAAGGCAGACCGAUCAGCAAUAGAAAGGUUAUUGUAUUACAGCAGAAGGAUGCCGAUGAAGAUCAACCGAUAAAGAUGGUGCCGAUGAUAGGAGAUGAUCGGUAGAAAGAUUCUACUGAUUCAGGUUCGGUAUAAGGUCGAAAGUGGUGUUUGCUGGAUUGUUGCCGAUAAGACUUAUGGUUACCGAUGCCGAUGGAGGAGGACGUGAAGACUACUGCUGGAAGGGUGUAUAUGUGCCGAUGGGGCAGGAGCCGAUGAAGACUUUAUCGUUGUUGGCGCUUCUUAGCGACAGAAGAGAAAUCCGCAAGAGCAUGGAAGUACCGUUGUAGCACUUCACCCGGAAGUAUUUAGGGUUUCAUAUUUAUCCACAGGGAAUGGCAAAACGUCACAUAGACUCUAAACUAAUCACCCUAGAAGAUAGAAGGGAGGAGAACACGGCUAAGAGGAUACACUAAAGUGAUGAACCACUAAGUGGAAAGACCUUCCCACUACUUGCUUGCUUUAGGCCCAUUGAGAGUCCUAGGUAACUAGGCGAUCCCAGUAUGAGCACUACGCUACGACAGAUCAUGGAGGAUUACAAUGGAUGCCAGAUGCUGUCACUACACUAACACCUACCACUCUGCCCAAAAGCCGUACCACAUAUGAAGGUAGCCCACAACUUAGACACCAUGUCUACGAAGGUGACUACUGCUCUAGCGAUGCGUAGGAUUAUCCAUCUCUAUCAGGAGUCCUCUUACUAGAGCACCCGUUCUAAGAACGAGCGACGAUCCCACAAGCAAAUAUCUUUAUGAAAGUAAUUCACUUAAUGAAUCAAAACUGAAAUGUAACACAAACCUCGUACUUCAAGUAGUAAGAACGAAUGUAGAGGUUCAAGAAGGAGCGAGAGCCGAUUGGUCCGGCACUUGGUCCACCGUAGAGUAGAACUUGCUUCGACCCCGCUUCUACACUUCAUCUCUUGCCUCUCUCUCUAGCCUAAGUCUAGAAUAGCUGGAGCUAAACUAAUAAAGCACCACUCCUUCUAUUUUCUUCUAUCUUCAUAUAUUUAAAUGGAGGAGAGGGGGUCUCAAUUUAUAGCUCCAUAAGAUGGUUCGGGGCGAUCUAAAUUUGGUUGUAGGUGAAACCGUCCUAUGCAUGCUGCCAUGAAAUCGCUUGAAAAAGGUGGGACCGAAUUGCCGCCACGGGGGGUGUGCCCGCACCAGGGUGCGACCGCACCACUAGUGGGCCCCCCUGGCCACCGCCUUCUCGUGGUCGGUUCGUCUCUAGGGCCUGAUUCUUCUUGUGGUUAUAGAUGGAUCCAGUUCGGUGUUUUGGUGGGCUUUUCCAUUUAAUCUUCAUUUGCGCCUUUUCUGAAAAUGCUUUCUUGAAGUGCGCUUUCUCGUGUCUUUUGCGCCUUUCCACGUGUCAUACCUGAAAUUGAUAUUUACAACAAAGCUUGUGGAAAGGUUAGAUAAAAGCCCUAUCAUCUAUUUAUUUUAUUUAUAAAAAUUAUGUUUAUAAUUAUAAGACAAGAAGUGCCAACAAACUCCCCCACACUUGGUCCUUUGCUCGUCCUCGAGUAAAGUGCUAUGGACCAAAUGGGUUCAUCAUCCUUGUCAAAGAAAUUUGCAUACAAGUUUUUUCAAGCUUCACCCGGAUUUAUGAACUUCAAAGUGUCUACCAAAUCAUCUUGGGUAAUUGAAAGAUGGAACAGCUUGAAUUCAAAUCUACUUGCACAGUCCCUACGCAGAAACUUGUGGUUUUGCAAAUUUUUGAAAAGAAAGAAAGAGUAUGUUCCUUGAAUGACUCUUCUCAAGUCGCUCAAAUUUUGUAAGUGGUUCCUCACCAAGGCAUAAGGAUUUGAUGCCUUCUCCUUGAUCAUCCUACCUCUAAAGGCUUAUCUGGUGUUUUGGGUAGGUAUGGUAAUAGUGGAAUCAUACUUACCCUGCAUAUAUUGUCGUGUCAAACCUAGGACCAUACUGGAGGGAGUGCGCCAUACCCUUAGAUCAGAAUGUGCAUCUGUGUGGGAUUUUUGGUGGAAGUCCUAAUUCUAAAUAUUCUGGGUCACUCCUUGCAACAUGAAUCUCUUUUAUUUGAAUGAUAUGAGGAACUGAGAAGGAAAUAGGUGAUAAAUUUUUUUUGAACGGGUAUGGAUUUGCCCCGUUUGCCUUUUGGCUUGUCAUAUAUUUUUUUCUUCUUUUUUUCGAAUAGCCCAUUCCUUUAUUGCUGAUGAAAGAACACGUGGAAGAGAGCUUCAUAGUAAUGAAUGAAAGGAAUGUAACUGGAUGCGCAAUUCUCAGGUUGAGAUAUUGGCAUUUUUAUUUGGUGGAUAUAUGGGCGCAACUCUAGUGUAAGAGUUGGCGUAUUUUUGGGUGGAUGGAAAAAAACAUGUUGUACGCAACUUCUUAGUGUGAGAGAUGGCUUUAUUUGGUGGGUUCAAGUGAAUUCCGAUCUUGGAGGCAUGAAACAUCUCUCGACAGCGGUCCAAAAAUUUGACCAAACUCAACACAGAGUAAGCAGCAUAUGUAGAAGGUUCAUCAUAAAGAGAUAUAUUUGGCCAUUGGUAGGUAAAAGCUUAAUCAUUCAAGGAAUUUGCUAUAUGAAUUUUUAACUUUGUAAAAUAAAAAACCAAGUACUUUGCAAAGACUAGCAAGCAUCAUAUCAUCCUACUGUAUCACAUCCGUCAAUUACUUAGAUAAAAUGGGGUCUCUAACAAAGUGUUCAUAAAUUCACAGGAAUUUUAGCGAGAAAUAAAAGGGAUGCAAAACAUUUUGAACGAAGGAGACAAGUUGAUGGAGAAUGAAGGUACAAUAUUUAAACUUUUAUUUAUAAAACUUUUUUUUAAAAUUUAAAUGAGGGGAGCAUUUAUACAAACUGAGUUUUCAUGAUGAUGUGCUUCUCCCCCACACUUGUUUUCUUUCCUGUCUUUGAUUAGUCACAGAAAAAUAUAUACAUUCCAGAAAACAAGUGCUCAAAAGAAAAGAUAUUUUCAUUGAUAAUUUAGAUAGGCACAAUCACAUCAAAAGGGAAAAUGGUUGAAAAAGGGAAAGCGUGCCUAUUUUAUUUGUAGGGGGUUCUUACAAACUUUUAAGAACAUGCUCCACCCCUGCUGCCUUAGAGAUCCUAUGCAGCUGACCGCCAUAGCCGCAGCGCAUCUCAUCUAAUUCGUCCUUAAGUCCUUUGACACUAAGACGAGCCUUGGCUAUGUGAUCAUGAGCUCUCUCUGCACUAGUGUGGGUGCUCCUAUUGCUUGCACAGAGUGGGGUGAUGGUUGGCCCUUUGGGCAGCUGCUCAACCUCACUAUUGCUAAAGAAACCUUUAGGAUAUCCCCUGAUGACAGUCCUAAUGAACUUGUGUUUAGCGCCUAACGUUUCUGCUAAGGGCAAGGCUUUGCUAGCUGAAGCUUCGUCCUUACGAAAAAGUCCCUUCGCAUACUCUCCAUCAGGUUUGUGUAUCCCUCUAAUUAAAUAUGAGCGAUUAUCAUAAACGGGAGACGACAGAGAUGGCUCUUCGCAAGACGAAGGCAUGACAGUAGCUCCCUUGCUAAGUCCACCACCACCAGUAGUCUUCUUCUUCCGUCCUAGUUUGUUGGGUAUUUUAAACGCAAACAGAAAAAUCCGCAAGCGCAUGGAUACCGAUGUAGCUUUCACCCGGGAGUAUUCCAGAGUAUCGAUUUUGCACAGAGAACGUGAGUGUACUAAUUAAGAUUCAAGAUCGCCCAAGGAUAACUAGAAAGGAUGAGGGGGUUGGAGAUCUCGAAUGUGGUGAUGUUGGAUAGACCAAUGGAUUGUGAAGAUGUUGCAUAUGAGCAUGGAGUAAAUGAAGUGGCUAUGAAAUAAAUUCCAUGCUCAUUAAUGCUUAGAGUGAAAUCCAUGUGGUACGGUGAAAAUGAUAAAGUGAGUGUGGUAAAAAAGGAAAAGAAAAAGGAUACACGGACGACUUGGUUCGAAACUAGCACAGCUACCGUUCCCCGACAACGGCGCCAGAAAGCUUGUUGGGUAUUGUAAACGCAAAAAGAAAAAUCCGCAAGCGCACGGAUACCGAUGUAGCUUUCACCCGGGAGUAUUCCAGAGUAUCGAUUUUCCACAGAGAACGUGAGUGUACUAAUUAAGAUUCAAGAUCGCCCAAGGAUAACUAUAUGAUUAUUUUUGGUGGGAAGAGAGGAGGUUUCCUGAGAGUUCUCUAGUUGAUCUAAGAAUCAAGAAUUACUUCAAGAUAAUCUAUAUCGGGACAUCAGAGCACUAACCACGGAAAGAGAUGAGAAGGGGGCUAGGAAGGUCUGACUACGGUCCUACAAACACCGAUCCGAACGUGGUGGAAUACGUCGACCGUUAGGGCUGUCACUACCCUAAGGCUACCACAACAAUCCGCAGGAUUGGGUGCAAUUCCAGGUAAUCGCAAGACUAAACACCACGUCUAAUCUAUUAAUUACUACUCUAGCGUUAUAAAGACUAGAGCACUUGAUGCAAGCGGGAAUCCAAUAAAUAACUUGAAUGUAAAUAAAAGUAAUUAGAGAACUCAGGAAUUAUGAAUUGAAGAACCUGGAGAACGAUGAAGAACGAACCAGUUGCUGCAAAAGUACAAUGUUGAGGAAGAUCUGACAGAUCCGACUCCUCCUCCGCUCUCCUCUUCUCUCUCCCUAUUUUCUAGAUUACAACUAGAACUAACUAGAACUAGAACUAGAGGAACUAGAACUAGAACUAGAUGAACUAGAACUAGAUCUAGAUGAACUAGAGGUAGAACUAGAAGAACUAGAGGGAUCCUCUCUACUUGGAUGAAGAAUUGAAACCCUAACUUUGAUUCUGUAGACGAGGUAUGAUCUCCAGGGGCCAGGGGGUCUGGUUUUAUCGUUCCUUCAAGUGAAUCUGGGCCGUCGGAUCAAACCGACAUUAAUCGCACGGUUUUCCUUGAUCCUUUAGGUCGGUGGAGCAUAAUCCGCGAAACGUGUCCUGAUUGGGCACUGUAGCUGGGCGGGCGCCCAGAAGGGUUGGGCGGGCGCCCCGCCUCCGAGCCCGAUCGCCUUCCUGUUCGGUCCCGUGGCUUCUGGAGUCUUCUAGAUGAUAGAAAAUUGUGCAGCACGUUAAUAUCUCUAUGUAAACCCGACAUGUGGGCAUUUCUUCCGUAUUUCCUGAUAACCCCCUGCAGAAAUAGACAAACACCAAAACUCGUGGAAUUCUGUCAGAUAAAACCCUAAGUCUAGGUGUUGCUUGCAUUUGGAUCCUUUUCUAUGAUUAGUUGAUGGUUAAAUGUGAGCAUUAAGGACCGUCAACAAGCUCCCCCAAGCUUAACCUUUGCUCGUCCCUGAGCAAAGAUGAACUCAAGAGUUUCUGCAGUGGUUUCAUAACUUAAAGAUACACAUGCGUUUAAACAAGAUCUCAUCUCUGGUUAGAGUAAACUGUUAAGACUUAAAACUUACUCAUUUACCUUUCACCAUGGGACUUGUAACCGUCACUUAUGUCUUGAGUAGUUAAAAGAUAGAACAGUCUAGUCAAGCACCAUGUCUCUUGUUCUUCGAUUAACUAUAGCUCUGGAGUUUUUGCAGAUUUUCAAAUAAAACUCAGAGAUUCCUUGUAUGACUUUCUCUAGUCUCUCUUUUGUGGUAUUUCUGGAUCCUUACCAAGGCAGUAAUGGUGUAUGCCUUCUCUCAAAGUAUGUGGUAUUUUUGGUAUGAGGCAUAGUGACAUUGCCUUCUCUCUCACCCUACUCUAAUAAGGCUUUUGAUAUCUGGAGCUCAUAGGUGGGAGACAGCUAAUACAUACUUACAAGACAUUUAUUGCAUAGUCAAACCAUGGAUCCAGAAGAACAAGUCAAUAAGUCAAAUCAAGAUGUGCAUGUGUGGCGAAUGAAUGGUGCAUGGUAAUGAUGGUGAUAACAAUGGUGAAAGUCUAAUUCUACUAGUGCCCUCUUGAGGGGAUACAUACCUUUCUUCCUCGUUUGAAACUUUCAGGGAGAAUGAGAUGCUCUGUAUUUUCUUUUUCUUUCUUUUUCUUUUUUUUUCUUUUCUCUCAGGUGGGUAUCUUGUACCCCUAAUUCUACUGUCGGACACUUGUCCAUUUUUACCUCUCGUCUCACUUUUUCUUCUUCUUUUUUUUUCUUUCGAGGUUCCGGGCACUUGCCCCUUUUUAUUUCCUCGUAUUCUUCUUUUUUUUUCUCAUUUUUUCUUUAGAGCACUCAUCUCAUGAGAUAAUAUAGCAAGUGGUAGUAACAAGAUAACUUGAGCAUUUAUUUCAUAGGGAAAAAAAUAGAAAUAUUUUUGGCUAUUCUCUCCCGGAUUAGGAGUAGAAUAUUUUUGGGUGGUUCUGGAGAUGGAAAUGGGUAUAUGUGGAUGGUACUUUGUGGCAGAACCUCCUAAGUGUUUGGGCCCACCGACACCUGCCAUUGUCCUAAGGACCUCUGACGGUGAUGCCGGGAGUCCUCCCACUUUUAGAAGUCCGAUGAGCAUUGCUGGGCGCUCAUUCCACUGUUACCUGUGGCGUACCAAGCUGGCUCGUCCUGACCACUGGUAAUGGUCAAACAACGAGAACUGCUUCUUCUCGCCCUUACAGGAUAGCAAGUGGCCACCUUAACACCAGGAUCAUUCGUUGCGAAGAUAAAGCAGUAACUCAACGACACAAGACCAAAAUAACCUUUCAGAGUGAAACAGCGGAAGUAUUACAUAACUUAAUUUAUAAAAGGAGUUCUUCCAAAUAGUAGAGUGUUAUUACAAGCCUGGUCCAGCGGAGCAACAGAGACUUUAGUACAGACAGAACAAAUUUACAGACCCUGCCCAUGGGUCGCGCUCAUUCUUCUUCGUCGUCAACCUCGACGACGGUCACACAACAGGGUCCGAAACAAGUCGGCUCCUGAGCUUCACCUGCAACAGGGGUAUUGAAACCCUGAGUACGGGAGUACUCAACAAGACUUAUCCGACGGGAAAAGAGGAGAAUUUAGGGAUGCAGGCUUAGGGUAGACAAGGGGUGGCUGAGCAAGGAGCCAAAGUGUUUUGCGUAAAGCUUACUAGUAGUGCAUCCUUAUUUUCAAGUUUUACCCCGAAUUCCUCCCUCGCAGAGGCAGAGGAAUUCGAGGAUAGUCUAACUGGUUGUUCCCCAUAGACGAAUCCGUGAGUUCCUAGUCCUAUCAUUAAGUAUUAUUCAUCGAUGGCCAUAGCUUCAUGUCGCUAUGAGUCCGGGAAUUGGGAUCCGAACCUCAUAAGACAUUUUCCCCUUUCUCAUUUUAUCACUU